GCCCCAGCUGGGAUAGCUCAUUCGGUAGAGCGUGAGACUCUUAAUCUCCAGGUCAUGGGUUCAAGCCCUACACUGGGCA